GAUGAACGCUGGCGGCGUGCCUAAUACAUGCAAGUCGAGCGAAUGGAUUAAGAGCUUGCUCUUAUGAAGUUAGCGGCGGACGGGUGAGUAACACGUGGGUAACCUGCCCAUAAGACUGGGAUAACUCCGGGAAGCCGGGGCUAAUACCGGAUAACAUUUUGAACCGCAUGGUUCGAAAUGGAAAGGCGGCUUCGGCUGUCACUUAUGGAUGGACCCGCGUCGCAUUAGCUAGUUGGUGAGGUAACGGCUCACCAAGGCAACGAUGCGUAGCCGACCUGAGAGGGUGAUCGGCCACACUGGGACUGAGACACGGCCCAGACUCCUACGGGAGGCAGCAGUAGGGAAUCUUCCGCAAUGGACGAAAGUCUAACGGAGCAACGCCGCGUGAGUGAUGAAGGCUUUCGGGUCGUAAAACUCUGUUGUUAGGGAAGAACAAGUGCUAGUUGAAUAAGCUGGCACCUUGACGGUACCUAACCAGAAAGCCACGGCUAACUACGUGCCAGCCGCCGCAGUAA
rnacentral:rRNA from 1 species